GAAGGCAUACUGUUCACCCUGGGUUUAAUUAACUCACAUGGGAUAGGAUUUCUUUUCACUGUUGUGUCAGUAUAUCAAACUCUUACCUGGACAUC
rnacentral:pre_miRNA from 1 species